rnacentral:rRNA from 1 species
CAGGCCUAACACAUGCAAGUCGAACGGUAGCACAGGAGAGCUUGCUCUCUGGGUGACGAGUGGCGGACGGGUGAGUAAUGCAUGGGGAGCUGCCCAAUCGAGGGGGACAACAUUCCGAAAGGAAUGCUAAUACCGCAUACGCCCUACGGGGGAAAGCAGGGGAUCUUCGGACCUUGCGCUAAUAGAUGAGCCUAAGUCAGAUUAGCUAGUUGGUGGGGUAAAGGCCUACCAAGGCGACGAUCUGUAGCGGGUCUGAGAGGAUGAUCCGCCACACUGGGACUGAGACACGGUCCAGACUCCUACGGGAGGCAGCAGUGGGGAAUAUUGCACAAUGGGGGAAACCCUGAUGCAGCCAUGCCGCGUGUGUGAAGAAGGCCUUCGGGUUGUAAAGCACUUUCAGCGAGGAGGAAAGGUUGGUAGCGAAUAACUGCCAGCUGUGACGUUACUCGCAGAAGAAGCACCGGCUAACUCCGUG